CUUCAUAUAUUGUUAUCUUGAAAGGCAAAUGAUUGAAAUAAGAAAUCAAAUAAAAGAGUUAAUCUUCAAACUUUUAGUAAUCAGCAAGAUGAAAACAAGUUUAAAAAAGCAAGAUUAAAAAAGUAAAAGUAUCAUGAAAUAGCGCGUUGUUAGAAAUAACAAUGAAACGCAUCUUACCUGUAGAAAUACAGGUGACACUGAUAAGUUCACAGACAUAAAUCGACGCUUGAAGAGUAAACUUCUUACCCAAUACUUGAAUGAAAAUUCAAGAUUGAAUGGCGAAAGUAUAAGUGGGAACCACUUAUACAAAAAGUAAAGUAAGCUCAUUAACUUAAUGACGUACUAAAACGUCAGCUUUGAGUCAAAAAAUAACAAUUUUUUGGUCAAGCUAUUAAGGGCUGCUGGUGGAUGCCUUGGUAUCAACAGGCGAUGAAGGACGCGAAACCCGCGAUAGGCAUCGGUGAGCUGGAAGAAAGCGUAGACCCGGUGGAAUCCGAAUGGGGAAACCCGGUGAGAAUAAUACCUCAUCAUCCUUAACUGAAUACAUAGGUUAAGGAGGCAAGACCUGCCGAACUGAAACAUCUUAGUAGGCAGAGGAAAAGAAAUCAAUUUAGAGAUUCCCAAAGUAGCGGCGAGCGAAAUGGGAAGAGCCCAAACCAGAGUCAUAGACUCUGGGGUUGUAGGACCAAUCAAAAGAUCAGGAAAACUUAGUCGAACACUUCUGGAAAGCUGGACGACAUAGGGUGAUAGUCCCGUAGACGAAAAGUGGACCUGACAGGAUUGGCACCUGAGUAGAGCCGGACACGUGAAACCCGGUUUGAAUCUGGGAGGACCACCUCCUAAGGCUAAAUACUCGUAGAUAACCGAUAGUGAACCAGUACCGUGAGGGAAAGGUAAAAAGAACCCCUGUUAGGGGAGUGAAAUAGAACCUGAAACCAGCAGCUUACAAACGGUCGAAGGCCUAUGCCCUUUAUAAGGGAAUGGCUGACGGCGUGCCUUUUGCAUGAUGAGCCAGCGAGUUACGCUAUAUGGCAAGGUUAAAGGACGGAACGUUCUGGAGCCGAAGUGAAAGCGAGCGUUAAAAGCGCGACAGAGUCAUAUGGCGUAGACACGAAACCACGUGAUCUAUCCAUGACCAGGUUGAAGCAAGGGUAACACCUUGUGGAGGACCGAACUAGUAACUGUUGAAAAAGUUUUGGAUGAGUUGUGGAUAGGGGUGAAAGGCCAAUCAAACGUGGAGAUAUCUUGUUCUCUUCGAAAUAACUUUAGGGUUAGCCUCGGACGCAUUCUUUCCAGGGGUAGAGCACUGAAUUCACGCGGGGACCUACCGGUCUACCAAAGGAAAUCAAACUCCGAAUACUGGAAAGCAGUCCGGGAGAUAGACAGUGGGGGCUAAGCUUCAUUGUCAAAAGGGGAACAGCCCAGAUCGCCAAAUAAGGCCCCUAAUUCUAUGCUAAGUGAGUAAGGAAGUAAAGUUUCUAAAACAGUUGGGAUGUUGGCUUAGAGGCAGCCAUCAUUUAAAGAGUGCGUAACAGCUCACCAAUCGAGAAACUUUGCGCCGAUAAUAUCCGGGACUAAAGCAUAGAGCCGAAUUUGCGGAUGCAUAUAGUGAUAUAUGCGUGGUAGGAGAGCGUAGUAUAUGCGCAGAAGAUGUACCGGAAGGAGCAUUGGAGCGUAUACUAGUGAGAAUGCAUGGCAUGAGUAAACGAUAAAGGCAGUGAAAAUCUGCCUCGCCGAAAACCCAAGGUUUCCAGGGUAAAGCUCGUCUUCCCUGGGUUAGCCGGUCCCUAAGCUGAGGCUGAAAAGCGUAAGCGAUGGAAAGCAGGUUAAAUAUUCCUGCGCCACCGAAGACUACAGUAAUGGAUUGACGAAGUAAGUAAAGCACGCGGACGAUUGGAAGAGUCCGUGACGCUACGAGGAAGGCUGAUAGGCAAAUCCGUCAGCAGGAUUCUAGAUAGCGGCCAAGGGGAGUGCAAAUGAACCGAUGGUGUAGAGCGAUGCUUCCAAGAAAUAAAUUCUAACUGUCGAAGGUGACCGUACCAAAACCGACACAGGUGGGUGGGAAGAAUAUUCUUAGGCGCGCGAGAGAACUCUCGUUAAGGAACUCGGCAAAUUAUCCCCGUAACUUCGGGAGAAGGGGAGCCAUGAGUCGUGACACAUUGACUUGUGAAGCGAAGCGUGGCCGCAGAGAAAUGGCCCAGGCGACUGUUUAACAAAAACACAGCACUAUGCAAAGACGUCUAAGUCGAAGUAUAUGGUGUGAUGCCUGCCCAAUGCC
rnacentral:rRNA from 1 species